rnacentral:lncRNA from 1 species
CCCUCCUACCCUCCUCGCACAUAGCGCAACUAAUACUGUAACUCAAAAGCCCUGAUGCAUUGCCACAAACAUUAAUCUUAAUGAUGCUAAACACGGUAAGAUGAAUCCACAUUAGGAGAAGCAUAUAUCGAGAUUAUUUUUUUAUAUUUUAUAUUUCUUAUUUUCAAAACUAUUAUCAACCUCGAAAUCGCUGGUUCAACUGACAAUUUCAUGGCCACCUUGGUGCUGACA